rnacentral:sRNA from 2 species
GCAGCGCAAAAUCCUCACCACCAAGGAGGUGGGAGAAAAGGUCUUCCUGCAUCGUUCGUGAAUCGAUUUACAGUUGUAUAUGCAGACUCGUUUAGUGAUGACGACUUAAAGAUGAUCUGUAAACGGUUGUCUCCUCUUGCUCCUAAAAGGGAGAUACAACAGCUAGUUGAAUUUGUCUCUUCGUUAAAUAUUAAAAUAACGAACGAACGACUCCUGGGAACUACUGGAGGACCUUGGGAAAUAAAUUUGCGAGAUAUUUCAAGAUGGCUCAGACUUCUUGAAUCCACUCCAAUCCGAGUUUCUCCUUCUCAGUUCCUCGAUGUUGUGAUUAGCCAGAGAUUUCGCACACAUGGUGACCGAUCCCUCGUUUUGUCAUUGUACGAGGAUGUCUUCCAAUCGACACCUGUUGUUAAAAGCUAUUUCCAUAACCUGAGCGUGUCGCAAUACCAAGUUGGCCUUAGUGUACUUCAACGCGACCCGCUGGUGCAAAAUUUCAAUGAUCCUCAGAUGAAGAUACUUACCGGCGAUCUAGCAAUUAUGGAAUCAUUGGCAUUGUGCAUAGAGCAAGGAUGGCCCAGUAUUCUCGUGGGCACAUCAGGAUGUGGGAAGACGACCAUUUUGCGGAAGCUUGCCACUUUGAGUGGUUGCAAGCUUGUGGAAUUGGCACUAAACGCGGACACUGAUACUAUGGAUCUUGUCGGGGGCUUUGAGCAGGUAGACAAUGACCGCCAUCUGCUAAGUUUCAUGGAUGAAUUGAGCCAGCUUUUGCAAAAUCAAGUUGUUUCUACAUACACCGCAACCGAACAGACCGGUAUGGACAGUGAGCUUGUGCAACUUUACCAAGACGUCAAGAGCGGGUCAUCUAAUCUUGAAACCAUUUCGGAGGCACUUCAUAGAAUUUCACUCAAGGGAUUACAUCCGAGCUUCACAGAGUUUUACCAACGUUCUAAAACACUGCUAAAAUCAUCCUUUGUUAACCAGACGAUCGGCUUCGAAUGGACGGAAGGUAUAUUUGUCCAAUCAGUCCAGAAAGGUGAUUGGGUGGUCCUUGACAAUGCCAACCUCUGUAAUCCCUCCGUUUUAGAUCGACUAAAUUCACUCAUGGAACCGAACGGGUAUUUAGUUAUCAAUGAGCAAAGGACUGUAGAUGGCACUGCAAAAGUGGUGAAGCCACACCCAAAUUUUCGACUGUUUCUCACUAUGGAUCCUCGUCAUGGAGAGUUGUCACGAGCAAUGAGGAAUCGGGCUAUCGAAAUAUGUUUGCAGCCCGGAGUCACCGGCGGUACGCCUACGACUCAAGGAAUCUUUUAUACCUCAGAAUCGUCAAUUUACCGCAUUCGCUGCGGUCAAGGUCUCUCACACCAACGAUUGGAUUCGGAAUUAGAACAGAAUGAACUAGAAGUUUUUCUUGAUCACUUGGCUCCGCACGAUUUUCGCAGGCUCCAGCAAUCAUCCACUUCUAUCGAUAUUUGGGUUGCGAAUACGUAUCUUUCUACAGUUGUGUACCAGACGUUUGAUCGCUACAAUGCUUUUUUAAGUCGUGAUACCCUUUCUUCUUUGAAGGAUUUUCUAUGCGAUGGAAGUUGGAAUGAACAUAAAUUUUCAAGCUUUCGCUAUGGUAUUGAGCCGCUGCAUCCAUUGAUCAACGAGCCCCGAGCUGUGGCUUGCAUUAAUCCAGAAUCGCAAGUUCUCUUAGCAAAACUAGCAAAACUCCAAGAGAUACAAUUUGACGUUUGGCAUUUCCACCAAGUCUUUUGUCAAGUUCGUGACUCCGUUUCCAACAAAAAACCUUCGGAAAUGAGCAGACUGGAAAGAUCAGUUGCUUCAGAUAGGAUCCCCGCCCUUAUGAAGGAAUCUACCCAACCGGUCGCGUUGUAUCUUUCUAGCUGUAUCCAGACUUUGAGUGAGACCAUUCAGAAGGUUAAUUAUGAGGUUUUGCGCUCCGUUGAUGUGUGUGCUAUAGCCAGUUCUAUAUUGGAGUUGUGCUGGGAUAUUUUUGGUGUCGUGCAAACCAAUAAUUUUGAUGAAGGGGUAUUUCAAACGUAUUUACAAAUUGGACAAUCUCUCUGUUCUCGCUUUAAGGAUAUUAAACUUGAUCUUGUCAGGGUCCUGUCUGAAUCACUUGAUAUGUUUCGUAUCAACUGGGGCUUGACAACAGGGCAAAGCAUGCAAAGGAUAUGGGAUCAGUGGAGGCCGGCGACAUCGACCGACCCUGCUCAUUUGAAGUCAAUGGUGGAUUUGCAACACAUUGCUGCCAGAUUUGAUCUUAUUACUUUGAAAACGAAUUUGCCCUUUUCGCAACUUGGCCAAUUGCGUCACUCACUAGUCCAAGCACAGAUUUCAAUGCUACAAGGCGCGGACGGAGUUGGUCUGAUCCAGGAUCUUCAGCAUGUAAUCGAUGACCUUGAAGCUCGAGUGCUGGAUUCCGGCCCAGUAUCACCCCCCUAUUUUUCCUUAGAGU